CAAUACUUUUUUUAAUCUAGUGGCUAAAAUGUCCGCGUAUAUUUUAUAAUCAUUAUUAAGUAGGGAGAUCGGUCUGCAAUUGUUUAUAAGUUCUUUAUUUCUACCCUGUUUUAGUAUCAAUGCUAUAUGUGCUUGCUGCCAUGUUUUUGGUAUUUUCCCUUCCUCCAAAAUUUUGUUUAUCAAUAGAUUCAUGGGUAGCACUAGGGAGUCCUCUAUUUUUUUUAUAAUGCAUUGUAGUGAGACUAUCUGCCCCUGGGGACUUUCCUAUUUUAGACUUUGCUAUCUCUUGAUGUAUUUC